GUAAAAUCAAGAAAGAAAGUUAUAGUCGAUGUAAAGAGACAUAUAGCAAGUCUUCGUAGCAUUAUUUGUUCAGAAAUUAUUAGCAUUCGAAGCUUUUUAGUGACUUACGAGGUUCGACGGACGGUAAAUGACCGUUCCAAACCUAUUGCAUUCUAUGGCCACAUCUCCCGAACGGACGAAUUCGCGGGAUGAUUGACGCUUAGAAAAAAAUAAGAUAUAUUUCGAGGGAAAAAAGAGGAUCCUGUGCAAGAAAAUUUUAUAUUAAUCUUUUUAUUUAUUAUGGUGAAAAUAUGGUACUCUAAAAGGUUUAUGCACGUCAAAAUUAUGUAAAUGUAAUUUAUUUAUAAUCUGUAUGGAACAGAAAAGCUUAGCCAAGUCAAGGCUACAAAUUUAACUUUGAAUAAAGUUAUAAAUCAUA